rnacentral:rRNA from 1 species
GAUAAACGCUGGCGGCGUGCAUGAGACAUGCAAGUCGAACGAAGGAUCGGGCUUGCUCGAUCCUUAGUGGCGGACGGCUGAGUAACGCGUAGGUGACCUACCCCGAAGUGGGGAAUAACUGCCCGAAAGGGUGGCUAAUACCGCAUGUGGUCGCACGUUCAUUCGUGCGAGUAAAGCCGCAAGGCGCUUCGGGAGGGGCCUGCGUCCGAUUAGCUCGUUGGUGGGGUAAUGGCUUACCAAGGCGACGAUCGGUAGGUGGUCUGAGAGGACGAUCACCCAGACUGGGACUGAGACACGGCCCAGACUCCUACGGGAGGCAGCAGUCGGGAAUUUUGCUCAAUGGGGGAAACCCUGAAGCAGCAACGCCGCGUGAGGGAUGAAGGCCUUCGGGUUGUAAACCUCUUUUGUCAGGGACGAUGAUGACGGUACCUGGCGAAUAAGCCACGGCUAACUACGUGCCAGCAGCCGCCGUAA